CCUACGGGGGGCAGCCGUGGGGAAUAUUGGGCAAUGGGCGCAAGCCUGACCCAGCAACGCCGCGUGGAGGAAGAAGGCUUUCGGGUUGUAAACUUCUUUUGUCAGGGAAGAGUAGAAGACGGUACCUGACGAAUAAGCCACGGCUAACUACGUGCCAGCAGCCGCGGUAAUACGUAGGUGGCAAGCGUUGUCCGGCUUUACUGGGUGUAAAGGGCGUGUAGCCGGGUUGACAAGUCAGAUGUGAAAUCCUGCGGCUUAACCGCAGAACUGCAUUUGAAACUGUUGAGCUUGAGGACUGGUGAGGCAGACGGAAUUCCUAGUGUAGCGGUGAAAUGCGUAGAUAUUAGGAGGAACACCAGUGGCGAAGGCGGUCUGCUGGACAGCAACUGACGGUGAGGCGCGAAAGCGUGGGGAGCAAACAGGAUUAGAUACCCGGGUAGUC
rnacentral:rRNA from 1 species